rnacentral:rRNA from 1 species
GACGAACGCUGGCGGCGUGCUUAACACAUGCAAGUCGAACGGUGAAGCUCCAGCUUGCUGGAGUGGAUCAGUGGCGAACGGGUGAGUAACACGUGAGCAACCUGCCCCUGACUCUGGAAUAAGCGCUGGAAACGGCGUCUAAUACUGGAUACGAGAAGGGCCCGCAUGGGCACUUUCUGGAAAGUUUUUCGGUUGGGGAUGGGCUCGCGGCCUAUCAGCUUGUUGGUGAGGUAAUGGCUCACCAAGGCGACGACGGGUAGCCGGCCUGAGAGGGCGACCGGCCACACUGGGACUGAGGCACGGCCCAGACUCCUACGGGAGGCAGCAGUGGGGAAUAUUGCACAAUGGGCGAAAGCCUGAUGCAGCGACGCCGCGUGAGGGAUGACGGCCUUCGGGUUGUAAACCUCUUUCAGCAGGGAAGAAGCGAAAGUGACGGUACCUGCAGAAGAAGCACCGGCUAACUACGUG